rnacentral:rRNA from 1 species
GACGAACGCUGGCGGCGUGCUUAACACAUGCAAGUCGAACGGAAAGGCCCUGCUUUUGUGGGGUGCUCGAGUGGCGAACGGGUGAGUAACACGUGAGUAACCUGCCCUUGACUUUGGGAUAACUUCAGGAAACUGGGGCUAAUACCGGAUAGGAGCUCCUGCUGCAUGGUGGGGGUUGGAAAGUUUCGGCGGUUGGGGAUGGACUCGCGGCUUAUCAGCUUGUUGGUGGGGUAGUGGCUUACCGAGGCUUUGACGGGUAGCCGGCCUGAGAGGGUGACCGGCCACAUUGGGACUGAGAUACGGCCCAGACUCCUACGGGAGGCAGCAGUGGGGAAUAUUGCACAAUGGGCGGAAGCCUGAUGCAGCAACGCCGCGUGCGGGAUGACGGCCUUCGGGUUGUAAACCGCUUUCGCCUGUGACGAAGCGUGAGUGACGGUAAUGGGGAAAGAAGCACCGGCUAACUACGU